UACAGAGGUCUCAAGCGUUGUUCGGAUUCAUUGGGCGUAAAGGGUGCGUAGGUGGCGUCGUAAGUCGGGUGUGAAAUUCGGUAGCUUAACUCCGAAACUGCAUUCGAUACUGCGGUGCUUGAGGACUGGAGAGGAGACUGGAAUUUACGGUGUAGCAGUGAAAUGCGUAGAGAUCGUAAGGAAGACCAGUGGCGAAGGCGGGUCUCUGGACAGUUCCUGACACUGAGACGCGAAAGCGUGGGGAGCGAACAGG
rnacentral:rRNA from 1 species